ensembl:snRNA LOC120098056 U6 spliceosomal RNA
AUGCUUGCUUUUAUAGCAUAAAUACUAAAACUGUAACAGUACAGAGUAGAUUGGUGUGGCCCCCUAGGCAAGGAUGAUAGUCAAACUUAUGGAAGUGUUUCGUAUUUUU